rnacentral:rRNA from 1 species
CAGCCGUAAACUAUGCGCGUUAGGUGUAUCGGUGACCACGAGUUACCGAGGUGCCGAAGGGAAACCGUGAAACGUGCCGCCCGGGAAGUACGGUCGCAAGGCUGAAACUUAAAGGAUUGGCGGGGGAGCACCACAACAGGUGGAGCCUGCGGUUUAAUUGGACUCAACGCCGGGAAGCUCACCGGAUAGGACAGCAGAAUGAUUGCCGGGCUGAAGACCCUGCAUGACUAGCUGAGAGGUGGUGCAUGGCGUCAGUGACU